GUGGUAGACGUUCCUCCUGAUGUGUUGCUGCUGCUGGUGGAGGUGUUCCGCCGGUGCUGAGACAGAUCUGUCAGGCUGGAGGAGUGAGAGUGCUCCGUACUAUAACCUGUGUGGAGGACAAGCACAUCCCACAAGACUAAGGUCCCACCUGAGAUUUUGCUCUGUUGGCUGGCAAAGCUGGAGUUGCGAGAAUGUCCCGUGUGAAACACUUCAUCUGGACUGGACAGGUUCUCCUCCAGUCCCUCCUGAAGUCCUCCUAAGAGCAAACAACCUCAGAUUGUCUACUGUAGGUGUGUUGGUCAUACCAGAGUUGUUCCCAGAGGAUCUGCUUUUGACAGAUCGGCGAGUGAUGCCACCGAGGGCCAGUGCAGAGUGGUCGGCGGUGCCCUCUCCCUUGCGG